GACGAACGCUGGCGGCGUGCUUAACACAUGCAAGUCGAGCGGGGUCCAUCUGGUGGCAACACCAGUGAAGACCUAGCGGCGAACGGGUGAGUAACACGUGAGCAACCUGCCCCAAGUCUGGGAUAAGCCUGGGAAACUGGGUCUAACACCGGAUGCCCUCAUCGGACCGCAUGGCCUGAUGAGGAAAGUUCACGCUUGGGGAGGGGCUCGCGGCCUAUCAGCUUGUUGGUGGGGUAACGGCCUACCAAGGCAUCGACGGGUAGCUGGUCU
rnacentral:rRNA from 1 species